ACCCAGCACCUAUUUCUUUACACUGGACUGACAGACCUCGCAGCAGAGCAGGCCAGAGCACAGGCACAGAGAGAGGAAUUUAGCAUUUAUGCUAAUAGAGCCAACAAACACAGAGCUGCAGGGCAACAGGCUGCACAGCAGAGAAUACCAACAGCUCUUCCAAAGAUCUGCUGGAGAAAAGCGCUGCGAAUAACAAAUUAGGAAGCAGACAUAACAUCUCUGCAUGAGCUGCAUGAGGAAUACAAAUGAAGACAAGCCAACAUCACAAAAUUCAAUGAUCUCAUAAUUAGAAGUAUGCAUAUCAAUAUUUUCUUGACAACCAGGAUGAGGCAGAGAUGAGCAAUCGAUCCCUAACCCAGGUCUGGACAGGCCUGGCGUCCCAAUAACAUUGGCUUCUUGCAGAUGAUGGGCAGCUGCAGCAACAAGAAAUGAGGCACCAUCCUGACCCACCCAUCGCUGUGCGCCACACCAUUCGCCAUCUCUGAGCGCGAUGCCUACCAGCUCAUGUCUGGAUAUACAGGACUUGCUCACAGCGUGAGGUCUGCUGGCACAAGGAGGGAAAUGCUGCAAUGGUUCAUCUUCUGAGGUCCCAUUUAAGCAUGAGGUGCGAUUUUUCCAUAGCUCAGUUUCUCUAACGAUCGCCAAAUCUUACUUUCUAUUGUUUCUGUUAGAGUACUGUGUUUAUUCAAAGCAGAAUAACUAAACCUUUUAAAAGGAGAGUAUCACAGAACACAGCUGGCUUUUUUGGCAUGCUGCAGCCUACAGUAACCAACAUAUAGUUCAUUGUAAUGGGAAGCAGAUUUUUAAAGUAGGAUGUUAAGUAAUUGCGAGCCCCCGAGCAACAAACAGACCAAAUCAGAGUGACCCAGACAGAAGUCAGGCAUCUCUGAAAGUGCUGUAACACCCUGACACAACUCAUUUCAAUCGAAAGCACCUUCAGAGGGAUGGAGUAUUUCAAAGGUUGCACCACACAGUCAAAUUCUACUUGCAAAAACUUCCUGUAAUAACUUCAUUUGUAAUUCAUUUUACUAGUCAUACAUAAAAGUGGGGCUGCAGGGAUCACAUGCUAUAGACUGUUGCAAAGGGAAGUACAAAAAGCAUACAAACAGGACAUGUCCACUUGAAACAGUUUAAGCUGUUCCAGACAGACAGGUUUGAAUAAGCAGCAUUUCAUUAGUCAUCACGGUUAGAAAGUCCUAGAGGCAGGAGUGAAACACGUUGCAAAGAAAGAGAUGGAUUAGGGUUAGAUUUUUAUCAUUUGUGGAGUGAUACACAUUUCCAUUAUUAAAGACAUUUUUAUCAGCACACUAAAUUAUUAAAACUUUGAUCACUUCAUAUCUGGAGAAUUGAUGCUGUGGUUUUAAAGCCUGACAUGUCUAACGUAUCUGAAUUAUAACUUAAUAAAUACUCCCUUCUAACAUCAGUUCUGUAUUACACACAUUUACUGAAACAAUUUUGGUCAGGCAACAGAGGUACAAAGCAUGAGCUACGGUCUGUUGCUUGGAUCUCUUUGAAAAGACCAACACACACAGAAAUGAGUGACACGUUCUUGUUGAAAUGCACGUGCAAUCUGCAUCCAGAGUGCAGGUUUGUUAAGGAAUGAUUGUGUGAGCACCUUGAUUUACACAGUAGGACUCACUGUAACUUUGCAUCGGUGCUUUUGCUUCACCACCUGCUGACACAGAGCUCCAUGCUUCAUUUUGCCAUCUCCCCACACAGUGUCAGUAACACAGUGCUUCCAGCAGGCAGCCAGCACGACCCCAUGAGCUACCUGGACUCAGGUUGGAGCACAGAUAAUGACAUAUCUACAAACACCAAUUCCCCAAUCCCUUUCUGUUACGUCCGUGAUUUUCCUCCUAUAGAGUAUGAUGACACAUUCAAUGACACCAGAAGCACUUACAGCUCAUUGCCAAAACACAGAUGAAUGCUCCUGGAUGGUCCUCACACUGCAGCCACAACAGUCCCAAAGAAACAUUGUGGAGCUACCUGGAAAGCAGCGAUGCCUCUGCCUACUGACCCCCCUUGGAUUUCUCAUGUACUUUCUGAGUGUGACAAACAUUUCUAGUAGGAAUCCAUUAGACAGCUCCCAUGCCAUUAGAGGAUAAAGGAUAUUGGCAGCCAGCAGCUGACACUGCCUAUCAUUCUCAAGUGAUACCGAAGAUGUCUUUUCUGAUAUUUUUACAUUCUAAAGUUGCAGAUCAACUUCCACAUUUCAAAUUCAAACACAUACAAAUACUUCCACAUUAUUCUUUUCUAAUUUAUAUCCUUCUGGAUAACGUGCUUUCAUUCUAGUUUUCUUUGGUAUGCCUACACUUUUUGCUAUAUACAGCAUAUAUUAUAAUAGAAUAGCUUGGGUUGGAAGGGACCUCAAAGAUCAUCAAGUUCCAAACCUCAGUGCGAAAGGCAGGGCUGCCAGCCCCUAGAUCAAGUACUACAUCAGACUGCCCAGGGCCCCAUCCAACCUGGUCUUGAGCAUUUCUGGGGAUGGGACAUCCACAGUCUCUCUGGGCAGCCUGUUCCAGCACCACACCACCCUCUCUGUGAAACACUUCCCCCUGACAUCUGAUUUAAAUCUUUCCUUAGUUUCUUUAACAGCAUUCCCCCUUGUACUAUCAAAUAAAUACAGCAAGUCAAUAAUUUUCAUAAAACAUGCAGCUCUUCCAAACAACUAAAGAGGAAGAAGCCUUUAAAAAUGAGCAUUCUUUACUUCCUUAUCUUGUUAAAGCAAUAAAGGUGCAAACGCUCUAUGGCUGUGAAGCUGGACGCAUAUCACGUGCCAUCCCUGGACAACAAUAAAGUUCACAAAUGGAAAA